rnacentral:lncRNA from 1 species
AGAAGCACAAAAAAAAAUAAAAAUAAAAAAAAUAAAAGGAAUCUUUCAAAGAAGACAGACAUCUUAAAGUCUAGGCAGAGGCAUUUCCAUGUCCAAAGAAAACACAUAAUGCAUCAAGAAACAUUUCCCACUGUUUGGCAAAAUUUAUAAACAUUUAUAAAUGGUCAAACUUUAUUGAAUCCACAAGUACUAUUCACUUAUCCACCUUUUAAAUUCUAUCUAUUUAGAAAUUAAACAGUUUAUAAAUUCU